rnacentral:lncRNA from 1 species
AGAUAAGAGAGAAAAAUUAAUACUAUAUAUGGAGACCAGGCAUCAAUGGCUACACCCUGAACAGUUCAUUCUAUCAGGUAGAGCUCAAUGGAGGCAAAUACAUUGACCAACUCAGAUUUCUGAACACACAUAACUAACAUUAACGUUAAAUGAAUUCUUUUCAUCUAACGUUUUCUAUUUCCAUAGUUUUACAAUGAACAUACACUACUUUCACUGAUAUUCAUUAAUGCAAAAAUAAAAUUAUGAAUAAAACAUACCCAAUCUGAACUCUCUAAUUAGUUCAUUCCACAUUCCUAACUCUCUUGCUGUUUUCCUUUCAAAUUUUGAGACUAUGUGGCAGUGUUCCUUCCCUCUACCUCCAAAAUCCCUUCUGGGCACUUCCAAAAGCCACCCUGUUGACUGCAGCCAGACCACUAGGGUUACUUACUAUAAUUUGUAUCGUUAACUUUCAUUUUUAUUAAAAGUAUACAGAUGUGCUCAAGUUAAACUAUGGUGAAAGCAUAAAUGCGAAUGUAAAUCUAAAUUAGGCGUGGGAAAUUCUUGUAUACAAUUGUGGUCACAAACACCAAAAAAAUUUUUUUUAAUUUAAUGGCCUCUGAGAAUAUUCUUGAACUAAUGAGGUCACUCCCUGGGGUGGAUAUGAGUGGGGCUGGUAGUGAGACUGGGUACUCAGAAGAUGGUUCAAAAAACCACAUCUAUUCUUUUACUUCAGGCAGAUGUUCUUUACAGCAGUGGUUCUUAACCUUGGAAAUCACCUGAAAUCACCUGUGAAACUUUACGAAUUACUGAUGGCGAGGCUCUAGCCCCAAACUCUGACUUAAUCGGUUGGAGGUGCAGACUGGCCAUAGGAAACGUUAACCAUCCCCUCACCCUGAUUCUAAUGUGCUGCCCUCAUUAGACCCUUCGGUCUAGAAAAUUCCUUCUAUGUCUUUGGCUCUUAAGUGGCAGAUACAAAAUUGUAGGCAAGCUGUUGAAAGCCAGGAAACUUAAAAACAUAUCCUGAAGCUGUGUCUGCAUUCAAACCCACAAGUUCUACUUAGGUUAUAAUAUUUGCAGGUUAUAUUCUUCGUAGUAAGGGUGUUGUUCUGACUGAUGGGAAUAGCCUUGGCCCCUGCCAUCAACCCUGUGUGUUAACCACACAGAGAACUUUGUGCUCAGGCAGACCUUGACUUGAAUUAUGACUGUGGGUGAUCCUGAAUUAUGACUGAGAGGUGCACUGCUCAGAUCUCCCUCCAGGAGAAGCUGCUCAUGGGAUCACAGGUGACUGACAGCCUCCAGCUGAGCACACCUUUGGAUCCAACUUGGAGCUCAGAGAUCUGGGCUUCCCUUGGGCUGCUCCCAACCAACGAUGGACUGUGACUAGGACUGGGCCAUUUCUACCCAAUGCAGGACUCCUCUAAAGGGGAGUCGUUUGCCCAGGGAUUCCACGAGGCACUGGCCUGGGCGAAACUUUCUCAUACCUCCUCUCAGUUUGAGGCUUUUCCUACCAAGACCACCUCUUUCCUUUUCUCUCCUUUUCUGGGUGUUGGAGCUGCAUCAUGGUCCGGAGACUCUCUCGAGCCCUCCUUUCUCUCUCACAGGCACUUCCCCCAAUUGACCUCUUACACAUCUGAUCUUCUCUUUGUGGGCACUUUUCAGAGGACCCACACGGACACAUAACUCAACACUACUCGAUGCUGGGAUGGUUAACAUCUUCCAUGGGUUUCGUUUCUUCCUCUGUUAAAAUGGACAGCAAAAACUAUAAGGGAUAUUGUGAAGAUUGAAUGAAACAUAUUAUCACUGAACACGGUAGUGAACUUCCUGGAACGUAGAAGGAAAUGAAUAAAUAGUAAUACCUCAUUUCGGCUUUUAUGAACAAGUACAUUCCUUCCCGUCGUUGAACUUUUGGUAUAUAACCUAUGUUUCAUACACUGCGGCUAUGCGUAGGGUACAGCACAUGAUGGAUGGGAAAGGGAAUGUGGAAAAGCGAAAGGGUUCUUUAAAAACAUAUUUAUGUGUGAGGUGAGAUGAUGGAUGUGUUAAUUAACUAGACAGGAGGAAGUUUUUUAUAGCAUAUACACAUAUCAACUCAUCGCAGUGUACACUUGAAAUAUCUUACAAUUUUGCUCAUCAGUCAUACCUCAAUAGAGUUUAAAAUAAGGAAAAAAGGGGGCUUCUAAAGACAAAUAUAACAGUAAAUAUAAUUAUCAUAGAUGCAUAUACCAUAUAUGUGAUAGUACUCAUGUGACCUCAGACAGAUGCAGGAAAUAAAAACAAUAUCCUGCAGAAAUGUUUUUUCCUUAGGUAUAUGUCAUAUACAUAUUUAUUAAAUAUCAUAUAUGUGAAGUUUUUGACUGCCAAACUUUAUUUCAAAUUCAGAGCGUGAAAAAAAAACAAGGAUACAUGACUAUUGUCAAGAUCUCUGAGCCUAAAAACAGACUCAGGCAGGUUUCAGCCUUCUUUCAAAGGUGUGUAUCUGCACAAAAUUGUUCACAGUCCAUGCAAAUGCAAACAAGCUUGCUUCCCACAGAAACUAGCCAGCAGACACUCUGCAGGGAUCUUGCAAUAAACUAACAGCACUAUUAAUAAAGUUGGGGGGGGGAAUAUAGAAUUGUAUUAUUCAUUGAUGCAAAAUAUUAAUAAAAGUGAAAAACUGAAAUUACAAUCCAGUCAGUUCUGCUAGAACAUGGCAUCUGUAUUCCUUAAAACUACCAUGCUAUGCAAAAAUCACACAACAAAAAUAACAGGGCUUAUGAGAAAAUGAUAUUGGAGACACAACACUCAGAAAUUUCAUCAGCGACAGGAUUUUUUCAAAGUAGGAACCUAAUAAAAUGGCAGCACAGCUUUAUACAUGUGACAUGGUUACAAAAUGCUUAUGUACUACAAUAAAUAUGGCAUUUUACCUUGAAAAACUUGAAGUUUGCAGAAGGGGAACGGAGAGACUGGGUCAACGGAGACGUGUGCAUGUGUCAUGUGAAUUCCUGUGCAGCUGGGCUGAGCUGGCUGCCGUGCACUGCAUUCACCAAGAGUUUCUCAUAAACAAAACUGUGCAGAAGCGAAGACAAAAUCUGUGUCAUGCUCAAGUUCCCUUAUAUAUCAACAGUGUUGGAACAAUUUCAUGUUUUCAAAAUAAGCACAACAGCAGACCUUAAGUACACUGUUAAGAUCCAUAAGGAACUUUUUUCAUUGAAAGGGGCUACUUCACUAAGACAUAAGAGAACACAUCAUUGAACUAACCACUUAGACAACAUGCAAAAUAACAAGUUGUUAACCAGUCCUCUGGAUAAAAUUUUUAUGUACACUAGGAGUUCCCGUCAUGGUGCAGCAGAAUUGAAUCCGACUAGAAACCAUGAGGUUGCGGGUUCAAUCCCUGGCCUUGCU